CGAACAGACCGCUGGUGUAUCAGUCGUCGUGCCAACGGCGCUGCUGAUUAGCUACGUCUGGAUGGGAUAACCGCUGAAAGCAUCUAAGCGGGAAGCCCACCUCGAGAUGAGGCUUCCCAUCCCCUAGAGGGAGUAAGGGCCGUGGGAGACCACCACGUUGAUAGGCGAGCCGUGGAAGCGCAGCGAUGCGUGAAGCGGACUCGUACUAAUUGCCCGAGGUCUUGAUUUG
rnacentral:rRNA from 1 species